UACGUAGGGUGCGAGCGUUGUCCGGAAUUAUUGGGCGUAAAGAGCUCGUAGGCGGUGUGUCGCGUCGGCCGUGAAAACCUGGGGCUCAACUCUGGGCGUGCGGUCGAUACGGGCAUCACUUGAGUUCGGCAGGGGAGACUGGAAUUCCUGGUGUAGCGGUGAAAUGCGCAGAUAUCAGGAGGAACACCGAUGGCGAAGGCAGAUCUCUGGGCCGUAACUGACGCUGAGGAGCGAAAGCAUGGGGAGCGAACAGG
rnacentral:rRNA from 1 species